rnacentral:lncRNA from 1 species
UAAUAUUGAUUUGGCUCUUAUAAAGGCACUCUUUGAUGUUAAACACAUUGCACUAGAUCAACCUACUCAUCACAUUGGACAAAUUACUUCACAUUCUUUAUUAGAUUUUAAUUCGAUUAAUUAAACAUUUAGGGAUUGUUUGAGCCCCAUUUUUUUAAAUAAAUGCAUUUUGCAACAGUGUUAUGAUAGAGAAUUUAAGAUUUAAGGAAAAAGUUUUGGGUUUAUUUUGAUGGAAAAUAUGGAGCUCAAACAAGGGCCUAGCAUAUAUUGCAUUUCAUGUAAUGGUUAACAAUAGUAUUUUACACGUGUAGGUGUAAAUAUUUUCUUUUCUUUCUGACAUAGGGUAUUUGAAUAUAAGUUUUAUAUUAAAUAUUUAUAGUCAAUAAUACAAUCUGGUGCUCAUAUAUUGAAAAGUCGUUUACGUAAAUUGGGUAGUGCUAAAUCGAAAAUAUAGCGUAGUAUAUGCCAGUUUUGCUCAUAUUUUCCAAAAUAGUAUAUUCAUGAAGUUCAAAUUGAGUUCGAAAUGUGUGAAACUCAUAUGCUUGGAGCACCAAUAUGGUGCAAGAUAUUAGUAGGGAUUAACUUCUUCAACUUACUUGAAUAGUCGAAUGCAUGUCUAUAUUAAUAUUCGAUGUUGUCCAGAGUAGCUCGAGUUUCAUAAACCAACCAUGUAGUCCCCGAGGUCCCGCACCCGAAGGUAGCUUUCCCCUUGUAUAGGCAACAAGCUCAAAACAACCAACACACACGAAAGUUUUGAAUAGGAUGUUGCCCAAUACUUUAUAUGAUGACAACAUAAGUGCAUUCUUCGAUAAUAUAGGCCAUACAACUAGCUGUUGACGAUCUUGCUAUGUUAUAUGGAAAGAAGAAUAUGUUUGGUACAUCACAUUCUCCCCCAUUCAAUUUGAUAAUGCCCACGUAGUGAGAAGUGAGCUUUACAUGGUCGAGCGACACUCUGCUUGCAAAAAUUUUCACAUCAUCCCCCAAUGGACGGGCAUCCACAUAAUGCCUCUAACACCAACCUUCAUCAUAUGACCUUCAACCAUUAGUUCCUCAAAUGGAGGACCUUUGUCACAGAGCCACUGCACAUGUCGAAGCAUCAACACAAUUCCUCUAAAAUGUUCACCGUGUUCUACAAAACAAACUAAUAAAGCACGUAGGUCAUUCGUACAUUGCCUAUCUUUAUCAUCCAUUAUCCCCAAAGCUUUUUUCAUCAAUUUCGUUUGCUUAUCGACCUAUUUGGCAAAUAUGUUGCGAUCAUAAAAUCAUUUCUACAAGAAUGCAUGUCACUGAUCUUCCACAACCAACAACGUAAAUUCAAGUAAGCCUAUUUUGAUACCAACUUUCAUGAACUAUCGUGGGAUAUCUUUCUUCCUUUGCCAGGUCUGUAAGCACAAACAAUCAACCCACAUAUACAUUUAUAGGCAAGAUGUUGAAAAAUACUAGCAUAUGAUGACACCAUUAGUGCACUCUUCGAUUAUAUAGCCCAUAUGCACUCUUCUUCGUUCAACCACUAACACUCUCCUAAUGUGAAAUGAGCUUUGCAUCAUCGCAACCCUCUCACUACAAGAAUUUUCACUAUUGUAGCACCAUAUCCCCAUGGAAGAGUCCACACAGUGCCCCUUGUACAUCUAUUUGCAGUACCAUCUACAGAUACUUCCUCUGGCAUUAACAUUUACCAUAUACCUCUAAACUAUUAGUUCCUCAUAUAGAUAGUCUUUGUUGCAGCGCCACUAUGCAUGUUGGAGCACAAACAGAAUCCCUCUAAAAUAUUCACAUCGCUUCACGAAAUAAAGUAACAAUGCAUGUAGACUCAUUUGCAAAUGCCUAGCCUUAUCAUCCAUCAUCCCAAAGUCUUCAUUAGUUCCACUUGCAUGCUGAACAAUUUAGCAAAUAUGCUGCAUUUCCAAAAUCAUUUUCGCAAGAACACAUGUCAGUGAUCUCCUACAAUCAACAACACACAUUAAAGUAGGUCUCCUCUGAUACCAACUUUCACGGACCUCCUGUAAAAUCUCUGGGGUCUUGUGGCUUAAGGUAGCAUUUUCCUCUUGCUUAGGUCGACAAGCCCAAAAUAACCAUCAUACACACGCUUAUAGGUAGAAAUACUACACAAUACCUAUAUAUGAUGACACUAUUAGUGCACUAUUCGAUAAUAGAGGCCAUAAACCUAGCUGUUAGCGACCUUAACAUGUCGAAUGGGGAUGGAAUAUGCUCGAUAUGUGACAUCGAGACUUGUUAAUAGUACCUAUGACUUCAUCCGUACUUACAAACACAAGAUCUAUUAUGAGAGACCAUAUAUUAGAUCAAGAUGCAUCAAGAAACUUGGACAACAUUACAAAUCGAAUAUAAGCACAUAUUUGUAUGCACCGAUGACUUUGAGAAAAUGAAGGUGACCAUCUACAUCUUUUCAGAUGUGAAAUUGCAUGCUACUAAAGUAGAAUUGUGAGUAUAUUUUCUCAAAGUUGACCCUUAUAACUGCACUUAUUUCAUUUGUCUUUUAAAAUUGUAUACAAUUGUUCAUUCGUGUACAGUUUUAACUUCACAUAUGUACUGUAGCUAGUCCCCAGCCAGAUAAGGGAUGAAGAAUUUUACAAUUUUUUAAUUUUUUUUAUUAAGUAUAAUUUUUUACUUUUACCAUUUCCUUAUAAAUAUACGUCUUCAUUAUACUUUGGGAAAAGUGAAUGUACAAUUUUCAAUUCAAAUUUGGAAAUAGAAGAAGAAAAAAAGAAUUAUGAACCACAAGCAACUCCCUCCACCAAGGAGAUAGUACAUGGGUUGAGCCAAGUUUACUUUUUGUGAAGCGGCUUAUACUCUACUCGCUUCACACACAAGUGCAAGCUGAAUUGCGUGGAAUUGAUUUUCACCCCUAAUUCUUCUUUUAAUUUGAAGCAUUGGUCAAGGCUAUAAAUAGAGCCAAUUUCUUUAUUUUUCUAUAUUUAAGUAAGAUAUUAAAUGACUUAUACUCAAGUGAUCUUUUUAUUAUUUUUUCUUAGUUUUAUUAAUAUAAAACAAAAGGUUUGAUUUAGGGUGAACACUG